rfam:Canis lupus familiaris chromosome 23, whole genome shotgun sequence.
CCAAAGGCUCUUUUCAGAGCCAUACACACACACACACAAAAUUUUU